UACGGGGGGGGCAAGCGUUGUUCGGAAUUACUGGGCGUAAAGGGCUCGUAGGUGGCCAACUAAGUCAGACGUGAAAUCCCUCGGCUUAACCGGGGAACUGCGUCUGAUACUGGAUGGCUUGAGUUCGGGAGAGGGAUGCGGAAUUCCAGGUGUAGCGGUGAAAUGCGUAGAGAUGUGGAGGAACACCAGUGGCGAAGGCGGCUUUCUGGUCUGUAACUGACGCUGAGGCGCGAAAGCGUGGGGAGCAAACAGG
rnacentral:rRNA from 1 species